AUGAAUUGCAUAACGUGGAAUUGUCGCGGGCUUGGGAACCCGGAGACAGUUCGGGAACUUCACCAUUUGGUGAGGGUUGAAGCGCCCACCCUAGUCUUCGUGUCGGAGACGAAGAUUGAAGGAAAUAAGGUAGCGGAGAUGCAAGCAAGAUUGGGGUUUGAAGGAUGUAUACCUGUCAGCAGCAAUGGGCUGAGCGGAGGACUUGCCCUCUUCUGGUCUAGGGAGGUGGAUGUUAAGCUCAACAACAUGUCUAAUCAACAUAUAGAUGUUAUGGUAAGGAAUGUGGGUAGCGACCAGAAGGAGUGGCGUUUUACAGGCUUUUAUGCCAAAGCAAAAAGAAGUGAAAGGAGUGAGAGUUGGACACUUUUGAAGUGGUUGCGAUGCCAAAGUGAUGUACCAUGGUUGUGUGGUGGGGACUUCAAGAUUACAGAUAAUACAGAAUAUUUUGGGGCUAACGAAAGGGCGGAAUGGAAAAUGCAAGGUUUCUGA
rnacentral:rRNA from 1 species